AUUGAACGCUGGCGGCAGGCCUAACACAUGCAAGUCGAACGAGUGGCGGACGGGUGAGUAAUGUCUGGGAAACUGCCUGAUGGAGGGGGAUAACUACUGGAAACGGUAGCUAAUACCGCAUACCAUCGGAUGUGCCCAGUUGGGAUUAUCUAGUAGGGGGGGUAAAGGCUCACCUAGGCGACGCACCCUAGCUGGUCUGGGCGGAUGACCAGCAACACUGGACCUGCGACACGGUCCAGACUCCUACGGGAGGCACCAGUGGGGAAUAUUGCAAAAUGGGCGCAAUCCUUAUGCAGCCAUGCCGCGUGUAUGAAGAAGGCCUUCGGGUUUUAAAGUACUUGCAGCGGGGAGGCGUUACCCGCAGAAGAAGCACCGGCUAACUCCGUGCCAGCAGCCGCGGUAAUUC
rnacentral:rRNA from 1 species